rnacentral:tRNA from 1 species
GGUCAUAAUUCAGUGGUAGAGUGCUUGCCUAGCAUGUGCAAGGCACUGGGUUCGAUUCUCAGCACCA